rnacentral:misc_RNA from 1 species
CAACAUUAUCACGGCCCGGUCGAAGGUCCGGAUCAGGAAGUCACCUGGCAAGACAAACACGGCCACCAUCACCACGACUACGUCGCCCAUCCUAAAUACGAGUUUGCUUACGGUGUCGAGGAUCACCACACCGGCGAUUAUCACGGACAAAAGGAGCACAGAGACGGCAAGAACGUCGUCGGGGAAUACACGGUUAAGGAACCAGGCGGCAACACGCGAACAGUCAAGUAUCAUGCGGGCAAGCACGGUUUCCAUGCCCACGUGAUUAAUAGCAAUGGCAACGAUCAUUCAGGAGGUCACGGCGGACACGGACAUUGAUCAAGAGGAACUUGACACCUCACGCCGAGCAUGGAUAACUCGAAUUUCAUCGAAUCAAUUGUUGUUGUUUUU